GAAACACCCAAGAAUGAUCAAUAAAUACUAAAAACAAACAACAACAAAAAAAACAACUAUGCUGAGUAAAAGGAGCCAGACCCAAAAGACCAUCUAUGAUUCUACUUAUAUGAAAUCUUUAGAAAUGCAAAAGUAUAGCCAGCAUGGUGGUUCAUACCUGUAAUCCCAGCACCUUGGGAGGCCAAGGCGGGCGGAUUACUUGAGAUCAGGAGUUUGAGACCAGCCUGGCCAACACGGCAGAACCCAGUCUCUACUAAAAAUACAGCCAGGUGUGGUAGUGCACGCCUAUAAUCCCAGUUACUCUGGUGGCUAAGGCACAAGAAUCACUUGAACCCGGGAGGUGGAGGUUGCAGUGAGCCAAGAUGAUGCCACUGAACUCCAGCCUGGGUGGCAAAGGAAGACUGUCGAAAAAAAAAAAAAAGAAAAAGAAAAAGAAAAAGAAAAGAAGGAAGGGAGGGAGGGAGGGAAAGAAGAAAGAAGGAAGGAAGGAAAGAAGGAAGGAAGGAAAAGAAAAGAAAAGAAGAGAAAGGAAGGAAGGAAGAAAAGGCAAAACUAUAGAAUCAGAGAACAGAUUAGUGGCUGCUGGGGCCUGGGGUAGGAGAGGAGACUGACUAUAAACAGGCAGGAGGGAACUUUGUCAGUCGACAGUCAUGUUCUGUAGCUAGAUUGGGAUGAAGUUUGCUGUUAAAAAUGCACUAAAACUCACCAAACUACACUUAAGAUGGGUAGAUUUUGUGGUAUAUAAGUUAUACUUCAAAAAACUAUAAAUAAGAAAGUUAACUGGAACAUCCUGUGCUUUCCAAAUCAAGACACCUUUCAGAGGAUACAUUCAUAGCCUUUGCCCCGGGUAAGUGCUUUCAAAUAUAAUACUCUAGUCCCAGUAUAAAUUCAAUAUACCUGUUUCUAAACACAGAGUAUUAAGCGAUACUGAGAGAAAUGGCAGAUAUAUUAGCAUAUGAAUCUAAAUGUAUUAUUGAAAGAGUGGUUUUAAGAGAAGUGUAGACAGCAGCCUACUCUAAUGAAAAUAAAUGUCAAUGAAAAUAAGCUACAUUUGUCAUUUUCAUGAAAAAAUUAUUUCUAUCAUCAUCUGCAAAUCAAUUUCCUUAAUAAGGGUUCGUGACAAUUUUCAGGAUUUCUUGAAAUGAUUUUUAUGAUAUAUUAAGACUCAUUUCUACAUAACCUUGAUUUCAAAUCAAAAUUGCUUUUAACUUCACAUUCACAGGUAUGUGAGCUAUUAAACCUAAGUCAGGCAGAGAGGAUCAGUUUCAUCAAGCGUCUCAGAUGAGAGCGUUCACACCCUUCUCUUCUUCACGUGCCACACUGCCUCCUCUUUGUCUCCACUUCACCGGGCAUGCUGAGGAUUAUGAACACUUUUCAAAGUCAACGCUACUGACUUCUAUCUUCCUAAGCAAAAAUAAGCCACCAAAAGUAGAGAUUUAUAAAAGAAAGCAAGCUCAGACUUAGUUUCUGAGAAGUCCAUUUCCUCACACAGAGGAGUCUGGGUCUCUGCCUGUUGGAGGAGGUGGCUGUCUGUGUGCUCUGAUGGAAAUUCUGCCAGUUUCCUUCAGCAGUUAACACCCUCAGCUUCAGGGCCGAAACAUGCUCCAGGUUGUCCUUUGGCUGAAAGCCCGCUAAAAUGGCAAUAAUUCCCUCUGACCACAACAGCCUUGCGUGUGGUGCUUUCUCUUAAUUAUUCCUCCUGCCCCUGGUCCUUCAGCUCCACAUUAUUCCCACUCUCCAAAAAUUCUAUUCUUCACUUCCUUCUCUUUCCAGCUUAGGUCCCAUGGGCCACCCUUCAUUUUUCUGACCAGCCCUCUCAACUCCUUUUCCUCCUUCUUUUUACACCAUACAUUCUUGUCUAGGGAAAGACCCCAAUUCAGAACAGUUUUGCCUAUAAGGACAUGAAGCCCAAAUUUCCCAUGUGACAGACCCACGUGGGGGAAAAUGAUAAAGUAAAAAGAGGAUAGGCUGUUGAGUCAGAGCCUAGCUUAAAUCCUGGUGCUGUCACCUACAAGCUGUGUUGCAUUGGUUAUGUUCAACAAGCUCUGUGUGCCUUAGUUUCCUCACCUGUAAAACGGGGCUAAUUUACCUACCUCCGGGGCUGUUGAGAUAAAUAUGGAAUGAGCAUAGCGAUGUGGCAGGAGCUUAGUGGACCCUUAGUAAAUGGUGACAAAAGCCUAACAAACAAGCACUCUGAUGUCCAUGUUCACUGUUGUUCUCUCGACCCAGUCUGCUUUCUCCACUUUCUACUUGGUUCCUAUCCUCCUUGUGGCCUGGAUAACACCUACUUAUUCCUGGAGACUCCACUAAAAUGUCAACCAUUAGAACUGCACUGUCAAAAACAGCAGCCAUUAGUCAAAUGUGGCUACUUACAUUCAAAUUAAGAUUAAUGAAUAUUAAAAAUCCAGUUCCUCAGUCACACUGUCCACAAUUUGAGUGCCCAACAGCCACAUGGGGCUGGCUAGUGGCUACUGUGUUGGGACAACACAGCGUGGAACAUUUUCAUCAUCACAGAAAAUUCUAUUGGACAGAGUUUCUCUAGAGGAAAAUGUCUUUGUUAACCCUCUCCUAAAGAACUCGUGUACUUUUAUAAGCAUACUCAUCACUUCCUAAAAUGAGUGUUGAUUCUUUUACUCCAUAAAUUGUGAACUUCUUGAAGUACCACUUAAAUCCAUACAAAUUUGCUAAAUGAACUGUUGAAUAAUUGGUUAACAAGCCUUUUUAAAAAUCAAAGUCAAGUAACAACAGGUGCUGGUGAGGCUGUGGAGAAACAGGAACGCUCUGACACUAUUGAUGGGAAUGUAAAUUAGUUCAACCAUUGUGCAAGACAGUGUGGUGGUUCCUCAAAGACCUAGAACCAGAAAUACCAUUUGACCCAGCAAUCCCAUUAUUGGGUAUAUACCUGAAGAAAUAGAAAUCAUUCUAUUAUAAAGAUACAUGCAUGUGUAUGUUUGUUGCAGCACUAUUCACAAUAGCAAGGAGAUGGAAUCAACCCAAAUGUCCAUCAGUGAUAGAUCGGAUAAAGAAAAUGUGGUACAUAUAGACAAUGGAAUACUAUGCAGCCAUAAAAAGGAAUGAGAUAAUGUCCUUUGCAGGGACAUGGAUGGAGCUGGAAGCCAUUAUCCUCAGUAAACUACUGCAGGAACAGAAAACCAAACACCACAUGUUCUCACUUAUAAGUGGGAGCUGAACAAUGAGAACACAUGGACACAGGGAGAGGAACAACACACACUGGGGCCUGUCGGCGGGUGGAGGGAGAGAGAGCAUCAGGAUGAAUAGCUAUUGCAUGCAGGGCUUAAUACCAAGGUGUUGGGUUGAUAAGUGCAGCAAACCACCAUGGCACACACUUACCUAUGUAACAAACCUGCACAUCCUUCACAUGUACCGCAGAACUUAAAAUAAAAUUUGAAUUUUUAAAAAAGCUUUUUGAAAAAUAAACCUCUUAAUUGUCUGGAGGCUCAGACAAUUUCCAUGAGGAAGAGUGCCUGAUAUCUUUGCUUUCAGAACCUGGUCCUGAGAGAUUUUGUCUAGUUUUGCUUCCUAUUCCGUUUCUCAAACCAUUUCUAAUCCUUAACCCAUUCAGGCAAGCGGAGCCCUCCACCACGUGGCCAGAAUUUCCUGACGUCCAAGAAAGGGCAUUAAACAAUAUGGCUUCUGAGAAAACAUCUAAUAUCAGAUAAGUCAUUGAAUAUAAAAGUUCAUCUCUGUACUCACAGUGCCAGAGUCAGUGCCUGGCCCACAGUAAACACCUAAAGAGUAUUUAUUGAAAAAAAUGAAUGGGUUGUUAUUUUAUCAGGGACUAUACUCUUAGGGAGGAAUGAGGUACAAGGGGAGAGAUGCUGGAAAGGAUGGAGAGCCAAUAUGGAGGAGUACUGAGCUGCCGAGUGUGACUGAUUGCUCAAUCCACAGACCACACUCCCAAGAAGGUGGAUAAAUGGGAGCUCAGAACCAGCCCUGUGAUGGAGUGGGGAAAGGGAGAAGAACUUACUCCCGGGAUGUGCUUGGUCUAAGAUUCACCCCCUUGCUCCUCUGGAUUGUGCAUUCCAGAGCGUGGGCAUUAGUGGAGUCUGCAGUGAUGUCAACAUGGGAGUGUUGGGUGGGAGAUGAGAGGGGUACUGGUGUGAAAUUGGCUGGGGCCCACACAGAGCUGGAACAAGAGAUGGGGAGGCCGAGGCUCUGGAGUGGUGCAUAAACAGGUGUUGGGCACAAUGUAUAUAAAUUAGCCUUUUAAAUUAUCUACCAUCAUGGGCAGGACUUGAGACUGGAGGAUAGGCCAUUUGGGGAAGGUUUAUGUGGGGUGUUCUCAUAUUCAAUUCCUGGCAAGGUUCUAGGUACAUUGGAAGUAUCAAUAAGAAUCAACUGGUUGAUUGCAUAGAGGCAUCUAAGCAGGCCAGUAUGAUACUAGGUACUAGGUUCCUAAAGGGGGACACUGAUGGAGGGGAAGUGAAUGUGGGGACAUGAGGAGAAAUGGUGGACAGAAAGGGGCUGAAAACAAACUUAAUCCACUUUAUAAUUUUGUCUGGGUCCAAGCUGACUUGGAAAUAUUCCCUAUGUCCUCUCCUUUGUUCUAAAAGCACCCAGAACCCCUUCCGAAGUUUCUUCUUUAAUAAGAUUUCCUAAUCAUUAUAAAACCCACUUAAGACCCAGGUAAAGGUUGUGCUCCUAAGGAUCAAUAAACUCAACUUUCCACUAGAUUUUCCUGAAGCCCAAGCACUGCUCUCUUUGUUUUCAGCAUAUAUCACCACCGCCUAAGUUAGGUCUGUUGUCCAGUAAGUAGAUAGUAUAGCUCUCUUUUGCUCCACACAUUGUCUACAGCUGACAGGUAUCAUUUGGAGAAUAAAAUUAGCAAAUGUUAUUGCUGUGUCUAUUUAUAUUUUAUUAAUCAACAGAUUUUUAGCAAAUUUUGGUUUUAUCUCCAUGAAUCAUAGACUUGAAAGGCCAAAGACACUCCAGGGAAUUCUUUAUUUUAGCAUCUUCUUUCCAGGCAAAAAGACAGGACAUCCCCAUUAGAGUUGUUGUAUUGGACCCCUCGUGUGCACCACUUCAAAGUCCUCUUGGGUUGUUCCUCUUAUUUCAGCCACAGCUGUAGACACCUGUUUUCCUGGAGGCUUUGAGCAGCUUGGCACAGGUGCUCUAGGACAGUGGCCUCACCUUGACCCUCAUAGGGAUCUCUUGCUUCCUGCCCUAGCCAUCUCUAAUCUUGGUUAAUAGUUCUAGAAAUCCACUCUGCACUCAAGCACAACCCAGCAGUGCAGGGGAGUUAGUCUUGUGAGGGCCAGUCUAGACCAGUGAAGAUCUGGAGUCAGUGGAUAAAAGCACUCCAUUUCAUCCCCUGGCAGACAGUUCUGAAACACUUCAUAAACCCUUUCACCAGUCCACUGGGAUCAACCAGCCAAUGCAAUGACACAGGCUUCUGUUGGCUCCUCCCCUCACUUUCUUCCACUCCCCCUUUCUGCAUUUCUGCUCCUGAGGAUCACAUUUCCAAACAAGCUACUUAUGCACAAGUCCCCAAAUGCUGAGCCAGAGACUAAGGCUUGUGCAUAAGUAGUCUCUGGCUCAGCUUUUGGGGGACCCUAGGCUAACACAAGUGGUUGGCAGUCUUAGAUUGGGUUUGCAAAAUCUCAUACCCUGGAUUCAUGCUCCCAGGGUGCAUCACCCAUGAUUGGUCCCUUGAUGCACCCACCACCUCCCCGACAGAAGGACUCCUCAACUACAGUGAUGUGGUGUGUGUGUGUGUGUUUGAUGUGUGUAUUUUUUCCAAGGCUGAAAUAGGAAACAGGAAAGAGACAUUCCCUGAGAACUUUUGUGCCUACCCUUUUUUUGGUUCUCUCACUUGUCUCCUUUAUACAAGGAGGACACAGAUUUAGAGAGGCCAGAUAACUCAUCCAAGACCACACAGCAAGAAUUCAAACUAGAAUUUGAACCCAGUCCUGUGGAUUCAAAGUCCAUAAUCUUUCUACAGCAUGGGAACAGCAGACAAAUCCUUAUAAGUCUUGAGCAUCCUUUUACUUCCACAUGUACUCCUUGAAGAUCUAUAGGACACACUUUACAUAAGGCAUGACCUGUAGAUGUGCAGUUUCACUCUUUUCUGGGGUCAUUUCUUCUCAGGUCUCUGCAUUUGGUCCUUCUCCAUCUCCUUUGGAAAACAAGGUGCUGAGCUGCUUUCCUGGCUCAUUUUGACUCUCAGUGUAAAAAGUGUUCUGCUUUGUUGGCUAGAUUUUCCCCUUUUCUUCCUCCACUGGGUCACAUACUUUCACCACGAAGCCUUUUGGCUUAUCUUUUUAUUCUCCUUUGCCUCAUUAGAAGCAUAACUACAGACUCCCUUGGUGCAAAUUCCUUCACUCUAGGCAGAAGUGCAGAAGCUACCACGUGGAGAAGCAUUUCCCAGACAUCUUCAAUGUCUCUUCAAGCUUGACUUGGGGGAAUGCAUAGGAAGGAAGGUGAACAUCAUAAACCCAUGGAGACCACUGACACAACCCUCAUCUUCCAAGGUGCUUGGUUAGAGUGAGUGUCUCAUCCCUACGGCCCCCACAGGAACCACGUGGAUGCCCUGUGGCAGAAAACCCCCAAUUUCAUCUCAGUCUCUAGAUUCCAGGAGGAAUAACCAAAUCAUAUUAUCUUAUCUGCCUGCUUUAUUUCACUGCGUUCAUGAAACACCUUCACAGAAAAGAAUUUCAUUUCUUUCCUUGCCUAGUGUUUUUUCUUUUUGUGCAGAAAUGAGAACUGAUGUUCUUUCUCUCCAAGUGUGGGAUGAGAAUAACACUAACUCCAAAGGUUAGAAAGAAAGAAAUCCUCUGUACAUGAAUGACACAAAUAGUCUGGCCUCUUCACUAACAGGUGCAAAGGGCCAUAAGAGCCAAUUGCAGUGUAUUGCCCUAACUCCGAGCUUCCGCAUCAGGCAGUGCUGAAACAGGGCCUGCCUGCUUCCUGCCAGCGCCAUCUGGCAGGUGCUAGUGUGGCUCAGCCAUGAGCCAGGCUGUAUAAUUGCCUCAAAUCAUGGUGGGGUGCUUCUCUGAAACCCUUACCCCUACCAUGAGUGCAACUGUCACAUAGAAACCACUUAGGAAGCUAGAAGUCAUUCAUCUGACCCACUCCACAGAGCCUGGCUCACAGGCUUAUGGGAUGACUUAAUCAGAAAGCUAAUUUUCAUGUUGGGUGGGUGCCACCAGCAAGGAACACAUGUUAGACAGCUGAAAGUGACCUGGGCCAGGCCUCAUACCAGUCCAGCAAUCUGAAGAGUUCUUGAACUUCAUUUACCCUAUUAUACACUCAAGUCUUCCUGCAUUCAGUCUUUCCAUAUUGCAUUGCCUGCUGUUUUUAAAACAUACCAUAAUAUUACUACUAUGUUUAAUACUAUGUAUAUGAAAAUAUAAUAUGGCUUUAGCAUCUUUGUUUCUUUUUUUUUGAGAUGGAGUCUCACUCUGGCUGGAAUGCAGUGGUGCAGUCUUGGCUCACUGCAACCUCUGUCUCCCGAGUUCAAGCGAUUCUCCUGCCUCAGCUGCGCAAGUAGCUGGUAUUACAGCAGAUGAAUAAUAGGGGGUCUCCAACCGGACAGAAAAUGAAUGCUGUCCUCACAUUUGUGUAAGAGGAGCCGAGACAUCUGGAUGUGAAGCCCCAUCAAGUGCUCCCAGGGGCAAUGGUGGCACCUGUGGAACCUCCAACAGCUCAUGGAGCCCCACCUUCUGAAAGAUGUUCAGAGCUGAGUGUGCGGGAGCCGUGGCUCAUACAGGGCUUUGGGAGACAGAAUCACAUUUAGAAAGUAAGGCUGUGUGACAAUACCCAGGGCACAUUCCCAGCUGUCCCUGCCUUUAUCGUUUGUAGGGACCUGGUGCUUUGCAGUUCUCCUGGAUCCUGCAUAAACCCUGGAGCUUUGGGAUACAGGCUAAUGGAAUAUCCUUGCCCCUGGGGGAGGGCUACACUGGUGUCCUCACCCUUGACUUCAUGGUGAUGGUGGUUCACCUUGCAGAUGGAUCCCAAUGUCCCUCUGUGAGACAUAGAUGAUUUCACAGCACAGCUUUUUUGGGGUCUAUCCUGAUCUGACCCAGUUUAACAGUGGGUAGAGUCCUCCAUGUCUUUCUCCAUCAUCUCCUGGGAACCAGUUUCACACCUGACCUCUAUUUUAUGCUUUCCAAAUUACACAGGAAAAUUUGGCUUCCUUCUGGAAACUCCUAAAGUGCAAAACACUCAUGUUUUUAACUGCUCCAUCCCUAUUAUAAUAGUCAAUACAUAUUAAGCACUUACUGUGUGCCAGGCUGUCUGUGCCAAGAAAUUUGCAAACAUUAGCUUACUUUAUCUUUACAGGAGUUCUCUGAGAUAGGUAUUAUUAACAUAUAAUGGUUUGUUAAUACAAAGUUUCACAGAUGCUUCCAGAAUUCACAAAAAACUGUGCACAGUGUCUUUAAGAAUUAACUGGCACAUUCAUACCUUGAUGAGAGCAUUCUCUUUUAAUCAUGCCCUUCUUAUUUGCCAUACCAUUUACAACAAAAUACACCAUUGAUGUUUAGCUAAAUGAAAGCUGAAAAAGAAAAUUGGUGAAUGAGAAAGCCAGUGGUCAUGAAAGUGCUAGAAAUAUUCAGCAGUUUGAAUAGCUCUGAACUGUGUAAAUCAUUUGAAAUAUUCCUUCCCCCACCUAUGAACUGAUUUUUAUUGUUUUUCAUAAAUUUUUUCUUUUUUUCAUAGUAUUAAUGUAUUGUAUGUGUUUUCAAAUAUUUUCUCAUAUAUGAAAAGGGCCAUUCCACAGUGUUCUUUGUAAGCUUUCCCUCACAUCAUUGUUUUGGAUGAGGCUUUAUGCUUCUCAAAGCAGUGAGAUAACAGAUAACACAGAAGCCAUGUGCUGGCACUUCUAUUCAGGUUGGCAUGGCCUCAACCAUUUUGAGUCAAAUUUCUGUCUAGUCUAGUAGGACCAUUUCCUAAAGUUGUAUCCAUACUAGGAAGGCAGAUAUGAAGAAAUGCUGCUAUGCUACCAAUCAGAAUAAUGUAGGCUUUGGGGUCCUGGGCUGGUAAAGCCUGGGUAUGAUGGCUAAAUUGAGCUGUUCUUACCCAGAUGAGGCUUAUGGUCAUCUGCUCUGUCUCCAAAGGUAAUCAGCCACUGCACAUGAGGUUUACUACACUGCACACGCAUGUGUGUUCUCUAGGUAAAUUUAAAUGAUAUUUUUUGGGGGGAAUCUGAGCUCAAAGAGAUAGAGUUCAAAUCAGAUCCAGUGUCUUUUCUGUCUCUAGGUGCCCAAAAUUGUCAUAAAGAGACAAUCUCUUACCUUCUGAGAAAUAUCAGUCAUUCCCUGUGACUCACACCAGCUUCUAUAUUUAGAACUGGGUCUCCUGCCAUCUGAUGCAGGCCACAGAUGAACAGGUCUCCUGCCAUCUGAUCCAUACGCCACACUUCAGGCUAUGUUAUCCCUAAGCCCACCACAUCCACUUACGAUUGAGGACAAAGGAAAAAGAAAGGGCCAUCAUCUUUAUGUGUCUUUUAAAGGACAUUCCUGUCAGUAAGAAGAAAGAGUCUAAGAUUUUACCCCGCUAACAAGUUAUCCUAUUACAGUUUUAUAGAGCAGAGGACAAAAAACUACUGGGUCAAAGACAAAGACUUUAUUCCAUAUAGCAAUAGCAGUAGCCAGAGUAUCAGUAAUUUCUUGAACUGGUUCCUAAGACUCCAAUUAUUCCAAUAGGGUGUUAUAAAGAGGGCCACAUGACACCCACACACACAGCAGAUUGCAUUACAUGAGAGAAAACUCUGAGCUUAGGGAACCAGAAUCUUUUAUAAUAAGCGGUAAGCAUCCCUCCAUGCUCUAGAAGGAAACACUUUCUCUGCCACUUAAGGCUACUUAUUAUACAACUGUUAUUUUAAAAAACAGCUCUGGAACAAAGGGCAACCAGUGCCUCUGCUUGCAAGAUGUGUGAUUAGAACUAUAGAGAAUUUUCUCCCAAGAAUCCUUUGAUUUUGCUGUUGCCAGUUAUGGCAAAAAGGCAUACUGUGGCUUUAUAAUAUAGCAAUUGCUCCCUCAAUAGGCAACCACACACUUUCGGUCAGGGUUCUUGGGCACUUGGCUUUGGGCCUUGAGAAUCCCAUGGUUUCCAAAGAGAAUGUAAAUAUAAAUAAUGAUGUUUGAUUACACGUGUCCGUAUAAAGGUAUUCCACUUUGAAAAGUAACUUAGGAAAAAACAAAAACCCCAAAAAAGCCCACUUAAAAUUUCACACAUUUUUUAAAAGGGAAACGGUUUUAUUCCUUACGCUUUAUUUGAAUUGGAACCCUGCAUUUAAAUUUUAGCAUGUUGAGGUUCUUUAGAAAGGAAAGAUAAGUUUACAUACAAUCCCAGACAGAAUAUAAAAAAGACUCAUCAAAAGAGAAUUCUAAUUCCAGUCAAGUGACCCUCUUUCUACAAAUUGUUAAUUAAAAGCUCAAGGGUAAAAUAGGACAAAAAACCCAUUUAUUCAUUUUCAGAUAAAGGUCAGUUCUUCCAUGGUAUAACAUUAUUUUCCCUAGGGCAGUUAUAUUCAUACAUAGAAUCUACUUUAGCAAAAAUAUUAUCUGUUUAACUGGAAAUCUAUACAGAUAAUUAAAUUCCUGCUAUCUCACACAGCUACCUCUAGUCUUAUGGAAUAAAUGAGUGCACAUCAGGAUUUUUAAUUUUCUCAUUAAUAUAGCAAAUAAGUAAAAUUCAUUUACACGGCAUUUCUUCACUUUUAAAGAGCAAUGUUUCCUGUUCACUCUGCACUUUUAAAGUGUAAACACAACAUUCUUGCCAUAAGAGAUAAAAAGACUAUAUUCUCUUCAAAAAAGUGCUUUUAUGUGAAUAAAAAGGAAGUGUAUUCGAUUUUGUAGAAUCAUCACAAACAGAACUUAAAAUCACACUAGAAAUAGAUGCUAACAGAAAGCUGUUGAGUUUCCUUGCAAACAGGAAAAGAAGCAGUGGAUGUUCCAAAACUGGGGAUCCUGUCAAUGGCUGGGUCUGCUUAGUUGUGUGCAGUGCUCUGAAAGGGCUACAUCAGAAAUUCCUUAGUAAAUGAGUAAGUGAGAGUCAGAAUCUAAAGGCUAUGCCUGCCUUGGCAGCACAUAAACAGACACCUCAACUGUGCAAAGAUGGCUGGCAUAACCUCUGUGCAAGAGAAACACAUGCCCACAAAGUAUUCCAUGCUUCUGAAAGUGCCUAAAAGAUGUGGGUGAUAGUGUCU
rnacentral:lncRNA from 10 species